AUUGAACGCUGGCGGCAGGCCUAACACAUGCAAGUCGAGCGGAUGAAGGGAGCUUGCUCCUGGAUUCAGCGGCGGACGGGUGAGUAAUGCCUAGGAAUCUGCCUGGUAGUGGGGGAUAACGUCCGGAAACGGGCGCUAAUACCGCAUACGUCCUGAGGGAGAAAGUGGGGGAUCUUCGGACCUCACGCUAUCAGAUGAGCCUAGGUCGGAUUAGCUAGUUGGUGGGGUAAAGGCCUACCAAGGCGACGAUCCGUAACUGGUCUGAGAGGAUGAUCAGUCACACUGGAACUGAGACACGGUCCAGACUCCUACGGGAGGCAGCAGUGGGGGAUAUUGGACAAUGGGCGAAAGCAUGAUCCAGCCAUGCCGCGUGUGUGAAGAAGGUCUUCGGAUUGUAAAGCACUUUAAGUUGGGAGGAAGGACAGUAAGUUAAUACCUUACUGUUUUGACGUUACCAACAGAAUAAGCACCGGCUAACUUCGUG
rnacentral:rRNA from 1 species